GCUAUUGGAGUUCGAUUAAGCCAUGCGAGUCGAGAGUCCUCGGGACUCGGCGUACCGCUCAGUAACACGUGGGUAACCUGCCCUAUGCUGGGGAAUAACCUCGGGAAACUGAGAAUAAUGCCCCAUAGCCCACUACGCCUGGAACGGUGAGUGGGUCAAAGCUCCGGCGGCAUAGGAUGGGCCUGCGCCGUAUCAGGUUGUAGGGGGUGUAAAGUACCCUCUAGCCAUCAACGCGUACGGGUGUUGGGAGACAUUGCCCGGAGAUGGAUUCUGAGACACGAAUCCAGACCCUACGGGGUGCAGCAGGCGCGAAAACUUGGCAAUGCGAGCAAUCGUGACCAGGGAACUCCAAGUGCGUAGGGUAAGACCUACGCUUUUCUUGACUCUUCAAAGGUCUUGGAAUAAGGGGUGGGUAAGGACGGUGCCAGCCGCCGCGGUAAUACCGGCGCCUCAAGUGGUAGUCGCUUUUAUUGGGCCUAAAACGUCCGUAGCCGGUCUGGUACAUUCGUGGGUAAAUCAACCCGCUCAACGGGUUGAAUUCUGCGAGCACGGCCAGACUUGGGACCGGGAGAGGUGUGGGGUACUCUCAGGGUAGGGGUAAAAUCCUGUCAUCCUGAGAGGACCACCUGUUGCGAAGGCGCCACACUAGAACGGAUCCGACGGUCAGGGACGAAACCUAGGGGCACGAACCGGAUUAGAUACCCGGGUAGUCCUAGGUGUAAACGCUGUGGACUUGAUGUUGGGGGCGCUCCGAGCGCUCUCAGUGUCGAAGCGAAGGUGAUAAGUCCACUGCCUGGGGAGUACGGUCGCAAGGCCGAAACUUAAAGGAAUUGGCGGGGGAGCACUGC
rnacentral:rRNA from 1 species